AGCAGCCGCGGUAAUUCCAGCUCCAAUAGCGUAUAUUAAAGUUGUUGCAGUUAAAAAGCUCGUAGUUGAAUUUCGGGGUUAGUAGGUUGGUCAUGCCUCUGGUAUGUACUGGUCUCACUGAUUCCUCCUUCCUGAUGAGCCGUAAUGCCAUUAAUUUGGUGUUGCGGGGAAUUUGGACUGUUACUUUGAAAAAUUAGAGUGUUUAAAGCAAGCUAACGCUUGAAUACAUUAGCAUGGAAUAAUGAAAUAGGACGUUUGAUUCUAUUUUGUUGGUUUCUAGGAUCGACGUAAUGAUUAAUAGGGAUAGUUGGGGGCAUUAGUAUUCAAUUGUCAGAGGUGAAAUUCUUGGAUUUAUUGAAGACUAACUACUGCGAAAGCAUUUGCCAAGGAUGUUUUCAUUAAUCAAGAACGAAAGUUAGGGGAUCGAAGACGAUCAGAUACCGUCGUAGUCUUAACCAUAAACUAUGCCGACUAGGGAUCGGAUGAUGUUAAUUUUUAAUGACUCA
rnacentral:rRNA from 1 species